rnacentral:rRNA from 1 species
UACAGAGGUCCCAAGCGUUGUUCGGAUUCACUGGGCGUAAAGGGUGCGUAGGUGGUGAGGUAAGUCGGAUGUGAAAGCUCCGAGCUCAACUCGGAAAUGGCAUUGGAAACUACCUUGCUAGAGGGUUUGAGGGGGGACCGGAAUACUUGGUGUAGCAGUGAAAUGCGUAGAUAUCAAGUGGAACACCAGUGGCGAAGGCGAGUCCCUGGAAAACUCCUGACACUGAGGCACGAAAGCUAGGGGAGCAAACGGG